rnacentral:misc_RNA from 1 species
AUUCCUGUUCUAUCAAUGUUUUUGAAGAAGCUUCUUACUGAGGAUUUACCUCGUCUCUUUGUCCGUCCAAAAAAAAUUGUGUUGGAUUUUCAGAAAGGGAAAACAGUCGGCCCUAUUCCAAGUGAUCCUAAGUCUGGUCAGAGCGAACAACCUAAGGCUGGGGAAAUGCAAGAAGGAAAUAAGGACUAUGCUGGAGAACUAUCAGUAACUCUUGUUGAUGCAAGGAAACUCUCUUAUAUCAUAUAUGGAAAAACUGACCCAUAUGUUAAUCUAAGACUUGGAGAUCAAGUAAUACGCAGCAAAAGAAACAGUCAAACUACUGUUAUUGGACCUCCUGGAGAGCCUAUAUGGAAUCAGGAUUUUCACAUGUUUGUCACAAACCCCAGGGGACAAAAGCUAUAUAUAGAAGCAAAGGAUUCCCUUGGUUUUACAGAUUUGACUAUUGGCUCAGGGGAGGUUGAUCUGGUAUCUCUUGAAGAUACUGUACCGACAGACAAAAUUGUGAUCCUCCGAAGUUGGGGACUACUGGGACCAAGGCCUGUAGGAGAGAUUUUACUGCGACUGACUUAUAAAGCUUACGUCGAAGAUGAGGAGGACGAAAGGAUUGAAGCAAGAUCCAAGUAUUUGGAUGCUUCAGAUGAUGAAUCAUCUGACUUCGAUGAUCGAGAUACUGCUGUGUAUGAGCAGCGUGGAGAGAGUGUGUCAAGUGGAACAGAUAAAGAAUCAUUUAUGGAUUUAUUAGCAGCAUUAAUUGUCAGCGAGGAAUUCCAAGGGAUCGUGGCAUCUGAAACAGGCAAUACUAAAUCUGUAGAUGAUUUUCAAACUAGAGAGCCAACCUCAAGACAACGUACUCCUGCUAAAUCUGUUCAACAAACUUCUGAUAUUGUUCCUGAAAACUUAGGAGAAUCACCCCUGUUUUGGCUAGCGAUUGUUACAAGUAUCUCAGUUCUAAUUGCUCUCAACGUCAGUGGUUCUAGCAUUUUCAAUCCAUGAAUAAGGAAACAAAAUAAGAUUGAUAGCUCCUGGUAAAUAGUACAAUAUAGAGUUCCUGCUGGAGUUUUUCUGUCAAACUACACAUAGUUGUCACCACUCUGAGAUUG